rnacentral:rRNA from 1 species
CCUACGGGAGGCAGCAGUGGGGAAUUUUGGACAAUGGGGGCAACCCUGAUCCAGCCAUUCCGCGUGGGUGAAGAAGGCCUUCGGGUUGUAAAGCUCUUUCGCAAGGGAAGAAAACUUAUGAUCGAAUAAAUCAUGAGGUUGACGGUACCUUGAUAAGAAGCACCGGCUAACUACGUGCCAGCAGCCGCGGUAAUACGUAGGGUGCGAGCGUUAAUCGGAAUUACUGGGCGUAAAGCGUGCGCAGGCGGUUUUGUAAGUCGGAUGUGAAAUCCCCGGGCUCAACCUGGGAACUGCGUUCGAAACUGCAAGGCUAGAGUGUGUCAGAGGGGGGUAGAAUUCCACGUGUAGCAGUGAAAUGCGUAGAGAUGUGGAGGAAUACCAAUGGCGAAGGCAGCCCCCUGGGAUAACACUGACGCUCAUGCACGAAAGCGUGGGGAGCAAACAGGAUUAGAUACCCUGGUAGUCCACGCCCUAAACGAUGUCAACUAGUUGUUGGUAGAGUAAAAUCUAUGAGUAACGUAGCUAACGCGUGAAGUUGACCGCCUGGGGGAGGUACGGUCGCGAGAAGUAAACGUACGUUAAGAAGUAGUUAGNGUGNGAGNGCGAGGCGACGACGAGGAGAGG